rnacentral:rRNA from 1 species
CGCGUGAGGAACCUGCCUCAAAGAGGGGGACAACAGUUGGAAACGACUGCUAAUACCGCAUAAGCCCACGGCUCGGCAUCGAGCAGAGGGAAAAGGAGCAAUCCGCUUUGAGAUGGCCUCGCGUCCGAUUAGCUAGUUGGUGAGGUAACGGCCCACCAAGGCAACGAUCGGCAGCCGGACUGAGAGGUUGAACGGCCACAUUGGGACUGAGACACGGCCCAG